GGCUGGAGCUUUUUGUCAUCUGAGUUACUGAACCCUGCAUAUCAACCAAUCCACGACACGACAGUCAGAAAUCAAAGUCAGUUUCCUGCUCGUUGACAUGGCUGAUGGAAGAUAAGUGCUUUAGUUGUACCAAAAUCUAAGAAAUACAAUGUACGUGAGUCUUGAUAUGUGCGGCUCAAAGGCUUCAAGUCAUUACAAAAGCAGUUUUAGCUUCCCCUUUUUUCUUAUGAAAAGCCUUUGUGCAGUGGCUGAACAAAAUAAGGAGGGACGGAUUGUCGGUGAGCAAACAUUUUGGUAAAACCGAAUCACUCAGGUGCUUGUUAACAGCGAUGUCAAUGGACCAGGAAACUGGUUUGCCGAUUUGAAGUAAGCUAGUUGCACAGAGACCAUAAAGAGCACUGUCUGGAUAUGAUUAUCAUGCAUGGAUGGCUACUUGAUGUGUAUAGGAACCUCUGGCUUCAAAAGUGUUCCAACUCCUCACUAAUUCAGCUGAUUAGGUCUUCAGUCAGGUAGUUGCAGCGUAGUAUCGACUCUUUCUAACAAUGGAUGUGCUAAUCAAGUUUCAAUGGCUUAUCAUGGUUUCUUGCAGGCCGCCUUCUGAAUUUCCUGUUUCCAAUUUCCUGUCACACAAAUCUCCUGCCCUCAUUUAUCAAUGGUGCUUAUGCAAACUUACAAUCAAGAGAGGCUACUACAUGCGUGUUACGCUUGCACAUGUGGUACCAUCCACCUCCAGGUUAAUGUUUCCUAUGACGCACAAGUUCUACCAAGUUCUUCUUUUGCUUUAUUGAUCCAGCACUCGUCCGCUUUAAGUAAUUUGAAAAAAUAGAAUGCGUGGGAACAGAUUUGUAGGCGGAUCUUCUGCCAUGGAUCUUGAGCACGACAAGCAAAGCGACGCAUAACGGUCGACCACCAGAGAAGACACGAAAAGAAGGGGCACAGGAGAAAAUACAACGGGACGACGAGAAGAGAAAGCCGCAAUUAAACAGAUCCUCGGAUGUAAAUAUCCAACGUGCUGUGGCGCUCCGUGGCCUUCCUUUCUACCUCCAUGAAGAUGAUGCAACUUUUAUAAAGACAUGGGAUGGAUCCUCGGAUGUAAAUAUCCAACAUAGUGUGGCGCUCCGUGGCCUUCCUUUCUACCUCCAUGAAGAUGAUGGCACUUUUAUAAAGACAUGGGAUGUACAGUCUCUCAAUCGGAGUUCAAGAUGAGGAAACCCAGCCCGAUUUGUCGCCGAUUGGAUCUCGCUCUGCAGGCUGGAAUCCUGCACAUUUAUCUCUUCUGCUUCCGUUCCACUUUUGCUGGAACCAAUCACAUCCUGGCUUAUCCAUCAGACGCACCAGGAUCGUCGUUUGAUUGGUUGAAGGACUAUCCAAGCGUACAGAGACAUUUGAACUAUGCAAAUUCAUCACGCCUCUUGUCCAGUAGAAAUACAGCGCAGACUCCCCAGACAAAUGUUCAAUCUCAAAAGACUGAGCUUGGUGAUAGCCAGCCUAUGAACUCCAAUGUUUUUAUAAUGUAUUCAUUAAUUGUUCCCUGAACAUAUUCGAUGAUUUGUUGAUGGUUGAAGUUAUUGUCCAAUGUUUUUUUUUUAUUAUUAUUUUAAUACUAUCAUCUCCUACCAUCUUCUAUCUCAUUUCUCAAAUUAGAGGUGGAUAAACUGUGUUUAUUUGAAUUUAUCCUCACUACAGCCUUGAUCUGAACUCCAAUCUGUACUUGUUUUCAUGGUUUACAUUAAAAGAUUAAGUAGAA